AACGAACGCUGGCGGCAUGCCUAACACAUGCAAGUCGAACGAUGCCUUCGGGCAUAGUGGCGCACGGGUGCGUAACGCGUGGGAAUCUGCCCUUGGCUUCGGAAUAACAGUUAGAAAUGACUGCUAAUACCGGAUGAUGUCCCCCUGCGAGAUCUUGGGUACCAAAGAUUUAUCGGCCAGGGAUGAGCCCGCGUAGGAUUAGGUAGUUGGUGGGGUAAAGGCCUACCAAGCCGACGAUCCUUAGCUGGUCUGAGAGGAUGAUCAGCCACACUGGGACUGAGACACGGCCCAGACUCCUACGGGAGGCAGCAGUGGGGAAUAUUGGACAAUGGGGGGAACCCUGAUCCAGCAAUGCCGCGUGAGUGAUGAAGGCCUUAGGGUUGCAAAGCUCUUUUACCAGGGAUGAUAAUGACAGUACCUGGAGAAUAAGCUCCGGCUAACUCCGUG
rnacentral:rRNA from 1 species